UGGCGAGAAGGUCACACCCGUUCCCAUCCCGAACACGGUAGUUAAGCUUCUCUGCGCCAAUGGUAGUUGGGGGCUUCUCCCUGCGAGAGUAGGUCGCUGCCGGGC
rnacentral:rRNA from 1 species